AGAUUGAACGCUGGCGGCAUGCUUUACACAUGCAAGUCGAACGGGCUGUUGGGGCAACCUGGCAGUCAGUGGCGGACGGGUGAGUAAUGCAUCGGAACGUGUCCCGUAGUGGGGGAUAACCCGGCGAAAGCCGGACUAAUACCGCAUAUGCUCUACGGAGGAAAGCGGGGGACCUGAAAGGGCCUCGCGCUAUGGGAGCGGCCGAUGUCCGAUUAGCUUGUUGGUGGGGUAAUGGCCUACCAAGGCGACGAUCGGUAGCUGGUCUGAGAGGAUGAUCAGCCACACUGGGACUGAGACACGGCCCAGACUCCUACGGGAGGCAGCAGUGGGAAUUUGGACAAGUGGGGGCAACCCGUGAUCCAGCCAUCGCCGCGUGCGGGAAGAAGGCCUUCGGGUUGUAACCGCGUUUAGUCGGAAGAAAGGACCGAAGGUAGAAUACCCGUUGUUCGUUGUACGGUACCGGCGGAAGUAAGCACCGGCUAACUACGUGCCAGC
rnacentral:rRNA from 1 species